rnacentral:rRNA from 1 species
UACAGAGGUGGCAAGCGUUGUUCGGAAUUACUGGGCGUAAAGGGCGCGUAGGCGGCCCGGAAAGUGGGGUGUGAAAACCCGAGGCUCAACCUCGGGCGUGCACUCCAAACUCCCGGGCUCGAGGCAGGUAGGGGAGAUCGGAAUUCCUGGUGUAGCGGUGAAAUGCGCAGAUAUCAGGAGGAACACCGGUGGCGAAGGCGGAUCUCUGGGCCUGAUCUGACGCUGAGGAGCGAAAGCGUGGGUAGCAAACAGG